rnacentral:rRNA from 1 species
CUACGUGCCAGCAGCCGCGGUAAUACGGAAGGUCCAGGCGUUAUCCGGAUUUAUUGGGUUUAAAGGGAGCGUAGGCUGGAGAUUAAGUGUGUUGUGAAAUGUAGACGCUCAACGUCUGAAUUGCAGCGCAUACUGGUUUCCUUGAGUACGCACAACGUUGGCGGAAUUCGUCGUGUGGCGGUGAAAUGCUUAGAUAUGACGAAGAACUCCGAUUGCGAAGGCAGCUGACGGGAGCGCAACUGACGCUUAAGCUCGAAGGUGCGGGUAUCAAACAGGAUUAGAUACCCUGGUAGUCCGCACAGUAAACGAUGGAUGCCCGCUGUUGGUACCUGGUAUCAGCGGCUAAGCGAAAGCAUUAAGCAUCCCACCUGGGGAGUACGCCGGCAACGGUGAAACUCAAAGGAAUUGACGGGGGCCCGCACAAGCGGAGGAACAUGUGGUUUAAUUCGAUGAUACGCGAGGAACCUUACCCGGGCUUGAAC